GUCUUUUUUGUAUUUAAUUUAAAGUCUAACCUGCCCACUGAUUUUAUAUUAAAUGGCCGCAGUAUUUUAACUGUGCAAAGGUAGCAUAAUCAUUAGUCUUUUAAUUGAAGGCUUGUAUGAAUGGUUGAACGAAAUAUUAACUGUUUCAUUUUAAUUUAAAAUAUAAUUUUAUUUUUUAGUUAAAAAGCUAAAAUAUUUUUAAAAGACGAGAAGACCCUAUAGAUCUUAAUAAUUUUUAAAUAUUAAUUAUAAAGAUUUUUUGAAUUAUUUUAUUUUAAAAAUUAUUUUAUUGGGGUGAUAUUAAAAUUUAAUAAACUUUUAAUUUUUUUUUUACAUUUAUUUAUGAUUUAAUGAUCCGUUUUUAACGAUUAAAAAUUUAAGUUACCUUAGGGAUAACAGCGUAAUUUUUUUAGAGAGUUCUUAUCGAUAAAAAAGAUUGCGACCUCGAUGUUGAAUUAAGAAAUAAUUUUGGGUGUAGAAGUUCAAAUUUAAAGUCUGUUCGACUUUUAAAUUCUU
rnacentral:rRNA from 1 species